rnacentral:rRNA from 1 species
AUAUAAAGAGUCGAACCUGCCCAGUGAUAUAUAUUCAACGGCCGCGGUACUCUGACCGUGCAAAGGUAGCAUAAUCAUUUGCCUUAUAAUUGAAGGCUUGUAUGAAUGGUUUGACGAGAACAAAGCUGUCUCUUUUUAAUUCUAUAAAACUUGAUUUUUAGGUGAAGAAGCCUAAAUAAAAUUGAAAGACAAGAAGACCCUAUCGAGCUUUAAAAGCUUUUGUUAAUAUAUAUGGCUAUAAUAGACUAGCUAUGAUAAAAGAUUUUAGUUGGGGCGACUAAGGAACAAAAAAGCUUCCAUUUCUCAGUUAAAGCAAAUUGGCUAUGAUCCAAAAUUUUUGAUUAAAAGAAUUAGUUACCGUAGGGAUAACAGCAUAAUCUUUUUUGAGAGUUCUCAUCGAAAAAAAGGUUUGUGACCUCGAUGUUGGACUAGAAUAUCCUAAAUGAUGCAGAAGUCUUUAAGGGU